rnacentral:rRNA from 1 species
CCUACGGGGGGCAGCAGUGGGGGAUAUUGCACAAUGGGGGAAACCCUGAUGCAGCGACGCCGCGUGGGUGAAGAAGCGCCUCGGCGCGUAAAGCCCUGUCAGCAGGGAAGAAAAUGACGGUACCUGAAGAAGAAGCCCCGGCUAACUACGUGCCAGCAGCCGCGGUAAUACGUAGGGGGCAAGCGUUAUCCGGAUUUACUGGGUGUAAAGGGGGCGCAGACGGCGGUGCAAGCCAGGGGUGAAAGCCCGGGGCCCAACCCCGGGACUGCUCUUGGAACUGCGUGGCUAGAGAGCAGGAGGGGCAGGCGGAAGUCAUGGUGUAGCGGUGAAAUGCGUAGAGAUCAGAAAGAACACCGGUUGCGAAGGCAGCCUACUAGGCUACAACUGACGUUGAGGCACGAAAGCGUGGGGAGCAAACAGGAUUAGAUACCCGGGUAGUC